AGUGAACGCUGGCGGUAGGCCUAACACAUGCAAGUCGAACGGCAGCACAGUAAGAGCUUGCUCUUACGGGUGGCGAGUGGCGGACGGGUGAGGAAUACAUCGGAAUCUACUUUUUCGUGGGGGAUAACGUAGGGAAACUUACGCUAAUACCGCAUACGACCUACGGGUGAAAGCAGGGGAUCUUCGGACCUUGCGCGUUUGAAUGAGCCGAUGUCGGAUUAGCUAGUUGGCGGGGUAAAGGCCCACCAAGGCGACGAUCCGUAGCUGGUCUGAGAGGAUGAUCAGCCACACUGGAACUGAGACACGGUCCAGACUCCUACGGGAGGCAGCAGUGGGGAAUAUUGGACAAUGGGCGCAAGCCUGAUCCAGCCAUACCGCGUGGGUGAAGAAGGCCUUCGGGUUGUAAAGCCCUUUUGUUGGGAAAGAAAAGCAGCAGGUUAAUACCCCGCUGUUCCGACGGUACCCAAAGAAUAAGCACCGGCUAACUUCGUG
rnacentral:rRNA from 1 species